AGAAAAACUUGUAACUUCAGUUAAAAAACAAUAUCAUCGCUCCAUCAAAACUCAGAAGAUGCAUUGCUUCAGACGGUGGUCAAAGUCACACUCAUAAGCCAUAGCUUCUUCUUCUUCUUUCCUUUUCCAUUGAUGGCUUCUUCAAGAAAUCACCCCAAUGGGUUAAAGAUCACAGUCGCUGUCAUGUUUCUCAUCUUUUUUCUCACAUUCUUUCCUUCCAUUUCAGCUGAGUCAAUGUUGAAGAGAGCUGGUGAUCAACGGUUAAAAAAUCAAAUGAAGAUGGUGCUGGGAUCGAGUCCGCCGCGGUGCGUGAACAAAUGCAUGAGUUGCAGGCCUUGUACGGCCACUCUCGUUGCUUCUUCGCACCACAAGAGUAGUAAACUCAAGGCAGCAACUUACCAGGGAGAUGAGAGCUAUUAUCUCCUCUCAUGGAAAUGCAGAUGUAGGAACAAGUUGUACCAACCUUGAAUAUAUUGGAUUUUAGUUUUAAUGUAACGAUGUUUCUGCAAGCAGCUUGUAGCUUAAGUGAUUAAGAGCAUUUACCUGUGUCGGAGAUUCGGAGGUCAUGUGAUCGUCUGACUCAGAUUCUGCUUUUGCCGGAUACGGCUUGUAUUCUAAAUAAUCAAGUUUACGCUUCCGAUGUA